AACUUCUCAAGUUUGGCCUCGGAUCAGGCGGGGAUACCCGCUGAACUUAAGCAUAUCAAUAAGCGGAGGA
rnacentral:rRNA from 1 species